AUUGAACGCUGGCGGCAGGCCUAACACAUGCAAGUCGAGCGGCAGCGGGAAAGUAGCUUGCUACUUUUGCCGGCGAGCGGCGGACGGGUGAGUAAUGCCUGGGAAAUUGCCCAGUCGAGGGGGAUAACAGUUGGAAACGACUGCUAAUACCGCAUACGCCCUACGGGGGAAAGCAGGGGACCUUCGGACCUUGCGCGAUUGGAUAUGCCCAGGUGGGAUUAGCUAGUUGGUGAGGUAAUGGCUCACCAAGGCGACGAUCCCUAGCUGGUCUGAGAGGAUGAUCAGCCACACUGGAACUGAGACACGGUCCAGACUCCUACGGGAGGCAGCAGUGGGGAAUAUUGCACAAUGGGGGAAACCCUGAAGCAGCCAUGCCGCGUGUGUGAAGAAGGCCUUCGGGUUGUAAAGCACUUUCAGCGAGGAGGAAAGGUUGAUGCCUAAUACGUAUCAACUGUGACGUUACUCGCAGAAGAAGCACCGGCUAACUCCGUGCCAGCCGCCGCGGUAAAAA
rnacentral:rRNA from 1 species